GUUUCUGCCUACCUGAGGCCUUCUAAGGGUCAGGAAUGAAUACACCAACUAGUGCUAGACCUUGGCCCCCGGCAUGUCCCUGGCAACAUACAUCCUUCUGUUUUGACAGCAGACCAUGGAGGCACAGUUACUGCAAACAACGAGGGUGCUGGAGUUGUGCCCGUGCUUAAAUAACUUGGAGUUGGUUUCAACACCUUCCAGGGACAGUUCUGGAGAUGGGUGUGUGCGGCACUGAGAGCGGUCUGAAGAAAUAAGCAGCGCUUAAGCUGUUCACAAGCAGCGCCCUUAGAAAUGCAUUUUGGGAAUCUCAGCUGCUUAGAGCUCCGCUGUCAAUGUUUGAAUGCUUACAACCCUCUUCCUUUUGAUUGCAAAUACGCGAACGCUGUUCAGCUAAUGUAAAAGUAACGUGCUAUGUGGGGAGAAGAACAAACAGACUACACAAAGGGCUGACAAUAUGUGCAUGAGAACUGACUUAAUAAAUGUAUAUAGACAUGCACACGCCCAAUAAGCUUUUAUUUGUGUCAACAUCAGAUGGUGUGUAACAAUAUAAACAAUGUAGGGAAGGUGGUUUGUGAGAUGUAUACCAAAAGUUAGUGCUGAAUUAUUUUUGAGUUUUGCUCUUGAAAGGAUUUGAGCCUU